rnacentral:lncRNA from 10 species
AGAGCAUGGCCCGGGGGCCGCUGGCCGCCCGCGGACUGCGGCUGCUGCUGCCGCUCCUGCCGCUCCUGCCGCUCCUGCCGCUGCCGCAGGUGGCGCUGGGCUUCGCGGACGGCAGCUGCGACCCCUCGGACCAGUAAGUCGGGGGGGAGGGAGCCGGGGCCUGGCCCCGCCCUAUGGGGAGGCACGGGUGGCGAGGUCGGCCGUCCCAUGCCCCGCCUGCUCCAGGUGCCGCCGUCCCCACAGGUGCCCGCCCCAGGCCCGCUGGAGCAGCCUGUGGCACGUGGGGCUCAUCCUGCUGGCGGUCCUCCUGCUUCUGCUGUGUGGUGUCACAGCUGGUUGUGUCCGGUUCUGCUGCCUCCGGAAGCAGGCACAGGCCCAGCCACAUCUGCCACCAGCACGGCAGCCCUGCGACGUGGCAGUCAUCCCUAUGGACAGUGACAGCCCUGUACACAGCACUGUGACCUCCUACAGCUCCGUGCAGUACCCACUGGGCAUGCGGUUGCCCCUGCCCUUUGGGGAGCUGGACCUGGACUCCAUGGCUCCUCCUGCCUACAGCCUGUACACCCCGGAGCCUCCACCCUCCUACGAUGAAGCUGUCAAGAUGGCCAAGCCCAGAGAGGAAGGACCAGCACUCUCCCAGAAACCCAGCCCUCUCCUUGGGGCCUCGGGCCUAGAGACCACUCCAGUGCC